CUUCCCCACAGCCGCCCCUGUGAUGGAACAUUUGAGGGUACAUCUGCCCAGGCCUCUCUGUUGCUGAACGGCCUGGAAUGGCUCCCUAUUGCCCUUGGGAGCCGGCUCAGGUGUCUCUCCCUCCAGGAAGUGGGGCUUGUGCCCUUUGGAUACCUGCACUCCCCAUCACCGCACUCCCCAUCGUGGCACUUCCCUUGUUGCAGUUUUAUGGAGUGUGCGUCUGGCUCUCCAACUAGACUUGAACCGCUUGAGUGCAUAACUCGGGACUUGACCAUUUGCGUCUCCCUACGGCCAGCUCAGCCUCCGCACACAGGGACCUGCAGAGAGUGGAUGUAGCCACUGCCCCAGCGUCCCUGGGCUCUGAAGAGAAGCCAUUGCCCUUCAAGAGCCACCCUCAUUUCCUGGGCACUGGUUGGAAAAAACGAAGAAAAAGAGACACCCAGCUCACCUCCAAGUUUGCCUGCAGACUUCCUGCUCCAUGUUUCUGCCUUGUAUUUGUCCUGGAGAGCUCGCUCAGUCUGGAUCCUGCUGGAUUUGUCCCCGGGGUGGUGUGUGACUGCAUCUGUGCUCCCUGUAUGUCCUGUAGAUUGGCAUUUGGUGGAGAGGCUUGAUCAGAUUCAGAUUGUCCAGUGCCUUCAGAUUGGAACAGGUAGAAGAUUCUCCUCCACGUGGAGUGGGAAGUCGGCAGGUAUCAUCUCCACUGCUUCACAAGAUGCUUUUUCCCAGAGAGGCAAAAACGCCCGUGAGGGUGACCCGGCUGGGAGGCAAACCCUGUCCUGCCCCCAGCUCUUGGCACUGUAACUUUCUUUCUGCCCCUGCACCCAGAAAUGCUCAUCUGUGUCUACCUCCGGGAACUCAGCAGCCUGGAUGCUGCAUGAGACCCUGAGGGACUGCAGUACCAUCUUCCCAGUUUGUCGACAGGCACGUUGAGGCAGGUACUGGGAUCAGGCUUGGGCAAAUGAGCCUCUGAGAGGGUGGAUCCUUCACUUACGAAUGAGGUCCUUCUUUCCAUAGGAGCAGGAAAAAGGCCGUUUGUCGUAAGGGUCACUGCUGUUACUGGUCACCUCUGGGUGCGAGUCCUGGGCUAAUCGCAUAUCUUGCGGGACCCUGACAACUCCCCCAUUUAUCAGAUGAGGCAAAGCAAGGCUCAGUCACUUGCACAACGCAUAUCGCUAGUAAGCGUUGCUGGUGGGAUCACACUCAGCACUUCAUAGGCAAAGAAAAUCCCAGGAGUGCCGAGGAAACGCUGUCAAGAUGUCAAAAAUACGCGGAAAGGGAAAAAAGGAAUUGCUACGGAAAGAGAGGUGGGAGAGGAACCCAGUCAAUUUCACCUGCUCCCCUUCCUCCAGGAAGAAUCGGAACCGAAAGCUUAAUAAGUGUGGUUGUUUUGAUAUUCGAAUCAUGAGACCCAAGGCAUCGUAGGGGACCUCGCCUGCAUCCAUUCGCCUAUCCAUCCUACAGCAGCGACUGCACCCCUGAUUGUGAUGACGAAUGCACCCCCAUCCUUGGGCUCCGUGCCCACUGCUGGGCUGGGCUGCUCCCUCAGGUGCGGCAGCCAGAGGAGGUGUGGACUCCCAUCCCACGCGUUUAUCCUCCUGCAGCCUCUCGAGCUUGGUGGCAUAGCCGUCCUUCCAGUCCCCAAGCCAGAUGUCCUUGAUGCCCCUUCUCCCAGCCCCAUCCCCAUCGCCAGUUGUAUCAGUUUUCUAUUGCUACUGUAACAACUCACUACAAAUUGAGUGGCUUAAAACAACACACAUCUACUCUCUUACAGUUCUAUAGGUCAGAAAUCUGACAUGGUCUCAGAGGGCUAAAUUCAAGGUGUCUGCAGGACAGUGUUCCUGCUGGAGGCUCUUGAGGGAGAAUCGGUUUCCUUGCCUUUUCCAAGUAUAGAGGCCGCCCACAUUGGCCCCCUUCCGUCUUCAAAGCCAGCAAUAGCUCCGAGUCUUUCCUCCCUAGCAUCGCUGUGACGCUGACUCUCCUGCCUCCCUCUUCCACAUUUAAGAACCUUGUGAUUACAUUGGUCCUCCCAGAUAAUCCAGAAUAAUCUCCCCAUCGCAAAAUCAGCUGAUUAGCAACCUCAAUUCCACCUGCAACCUUAAUUCUCCCCUGUCAUGAAAUAUAAGAAGGAGAUCCAUAUGUUCCGGGGAUUGGGAUGCAGACAUUUUGGAGGCAUUGUUCUGCCGACCACGCCAUCCUGACAGUUUUACCUCUGGAAUCUCUGCAGUCCACCUCCGCCUCGCCAUUCCUGCACCACUCCCUUUCUGGUUACCCGCUAUUUUCCCAAGAUGCCUUCAGUAGCACCUAUCCACUGUUGUCAUCUCUCUAACCUCCCUCUGUCCACAGUCCCCUGGGCCCCCACUCCAAGACAAAGAUGCAGAUGUCGCUACUUCCAUGGCACUGUCAUCUGCAAGGGAGCAUCCUAACUCUCCUUGGGCACACACAGGCCCUCAACCUGCCCUACCCCAUUGGUUCCUCCGGAUCCAUGACCCCUCCCACCCUCCGCCUCACACCCCUGUGCUCCCUUAAUAGUAAAUCACUUCUGGUUCUCUUAAGAUCCUGGGGCAUUUGGUUCUUCCUGGCCUUGGCCUGUGUGGCUCCCAUUCUCUGAACUGUCCUGCCCACCUUUAUUCGCCUCCCCCAGGAAGCCUCCCUGACCCCCCAGACCCUUUCAUUGCCCUCCCUUGGAACAGAAAUGUGCUUUUCACUGACUGGAUUGGCCCAAAGAGAUCUGAACUUGAGGCUGCCUCCUCAUGUCACUGAGAGCCCUCUGGGGUGGGCACUGUGCCUUGCUUGCCUCUUUGGUCAUAGUGCCCAGCAUGAGAUUGGUCACAUAGUAGGUGCUCAAUGAACUCAGAUUGAACUAAACUCAAGGACUUGGUCGGGGGGUGGUGGUGGUGAGAAGACCAGCUGGGCUGCUUGGGGAAGUAAAGUAUAAAGUUGGAUGGAAAAGCACGAGGACCUUGGCUCUAUUUCUGGUUCUUGGGGUGGAAUAAUAAUGACAGCAACACCAAUGGUGGCUGGCCCCAAAGGUCGUCCCGUGCCAGGCAUAGGCUAAGUGCUUUAUGAGAACAUUAUCAAUCAAUUCCCACAACAGCCUUAAGAGGUACCAACUUUAUCAGCAUCCCCAUUUUAGAGAUGAGGGCCCUGAGGCUGGGCCAGGAAGUUAUCUUGAUCUUGGCUGUCCCUGAUUGGAGGGGUGGUGGGAGUUGGGGACGGGCGGCUCUGGCAGAGACCUGCAGGGAGGUUGCAGCUGGCCUGGCCUCUGGAAACAGCCACCUUAAUGCUCUGCCCUGAAGCCUCUUUUUUUUUUUUUUUUUUUUUUUUUGAGACAGAGUCUCGCUCUGUCACCUAGGCUGGAGUCCAGUGGCAUGAUCUCAGCUCACCGCAACCUCCACCUCCCAGGUUCAAACGAUUCUUCUGCCUCAGCCUCCCAAGUAGCUGGGACUACAGGCACAUGCCACCACACCCGGCUAAUUUUUGUAUUUUUAGUAGAGUUGGGGUUUCACUAUGUUAGCCAGGAUGGUCUCGAUCUCCUGACCUCGUGGUCUGCCCCCGCCUUGACCUCCCAAAGUGCUGGGAUUACAGGCGUGAGCCACCGCGUCCAGCCCCCCAAGCCUCUUCUUUCCUCACUUCCUGUUCUCUGUCCUCAUUAUUCCACCAGUCUAUUGUCAUUUUUUUCCCCUUCCCAGCCUGCCCAGCCAGGAUAUGCGGCAGGAGGUUCAUUUUUGAAAGUAUAAGAAGGGCCGCCGGGAAUGAGUGUCUCACGGGGACAGAGUGUGCGUUUGGGAAGAUGAGACGGUUGUGGAGAU
rnacentral:lncRNA from 1 species